UACGUAGGGGGCAAGCGUUGUCCGGAAUUAUUGGGCGUAAAGCGCGCGCAGGCGGUCCUUUAAGUCUGAUGUGAAAGCCCACGGCUCAACCGUGGAGGGUCAUUGGAAACUGGAGGACUUGAGUACAGAAGAGGAAAGCGGAAUUCCACGUGUAGCGGUGAAAUGCGUAGAGAUGUGGAGGAACACCAGUGGCGAAGGCGGCUUUCUGGUCUGUAACUGACGCUGAGGAGCGAAAGCGUGGGUAGCAAACAGG
rnacentral:rRNA from 1 species